CAAACAUAGAUAUGCAUAGGUUCUAAGCGGGCAAAGCCUGCUGGAUGAAAAGGGAACAUGGUAGGGAUGACCUUGACGGGUCCUGAACCAUGGCUGCCCCCGCAACUGUUAACGGUAGUUGACUUGCACAUGCCACUGAGGCUUCAGUCUUGGGAAGGCGCAAGAAAACUCUGAUCCGUGAGCCAGGAGACCUGCCUGUGUGUGUUGUGGCCC
rnacentral:ncRNA from 2 species